rnacentral:rRNA from 1 species
AUGGACGCAAGUCUGAUGGAGCAACGCCGCGUGAGUGAAGAAGGGUUUCGGCUCGUAAAGCUCUGUUGGUAGUGAAGAAAGAUAGAGGUAGUAACUGGCCUUUAUUUGACGGUAAUUACUUAGAAAGUCACGGCUAACUACGUGCCAGCAGCCGCGGUAAUACGUAGGUGGCAAGCGUUGUCCGGAUUUAUUGGGCGUAAAGCGAGUGCAGGCGGUUCAAUAAGUCUGAUGUGAGAGCCUUCGGCUCAACCGGAGAAUUGCAUCAGAAACUGUUGAACUUGAGUGCAGAAGAGGAGAGUGGAACUCCAUGUGUAGCGGUGGAAUGCGUAGAUAUAUGGAAGAACACCAGUGGCGAAGGCGGCUCUCUGGUCUGCAACUGACGCUGAGGCUCGAAAGCAUGGGUAGCGAACAGGAUUAGAUACCCUGGUAGUCCAUGCCGUAAACGAUGAGUGCUAAGUGUUGGGAGGUUUCCGCCUCUCAGUGCUGCAGCUAACGCAUUAAGCACUCCGCCUGGGGAGUACGACCGCAAGGUUGAAACUCAAAGGAAUUGACGGGGGCCCGCACAAGCGGUGGAGCAUGUGGUUUAAUUCGAAGCAACGCGAAGAACCUUACCAGGUCU